UUGCUCAAAAAUCGUUGAAGAACUUAACAGAAAUAUUUUAUUUCUAGUUAGGGAUAGGCUGACUAUUGUAACCCAGACAUUUUCAACAGUUUCAGUGGAAGAGGAUGAAAUGAAAACAGCCCUAGAAUGUUAGAUUAAUCUGGCAAAUGGGAUGGAUUUGUCAUUAACAAUGAUCUGCUCAUAGUUUUCUUUGCCUUAAUCACACAGUGUAACUAAGUAGAUUAUAGAUUGUGUUCUGUGUAUGUGUUUGGCCCUGGGGACUCAUAUUCAUCUCAAGGGCCUUUAAGCAUUGUAGCGACCUAUCCCAUUGUCUAGUGGAAAGCGGUAGUGUUAUAGUGAGAUAACAAGCAUAAAUCUGGAUUUUUAUCAAAAGCAGAAUAUGGUAGAUAGAAGAGAAACACUCUAUGGUCCAUUGUGCCUGCCUGCAACCAGGUUGGUGUCAGUCCAUUGCUUCAGUUCAUGUCAUGCUUCAGAAUAACUGAGGACAUCUUUGAUUUUGUAUAUGUGUGUAUUUCUGGUGUGUGUAUGAGAGUGAAAGAGAGAGUGAAAUAUUGGUGAUUUCAAGAUUAAAAGUGGUUGUGUUUUCAGUAGUGUAAAUAAAAGCUCUUGGCAUACACAGGAAUUGUAAAGAAUUAGUGGGUCGUUGAAGGAGUUUUCAAAAAGACAUGCUUAUAUUUAAGCAUGAGAGGCCUGCUGUUGUGCUGCAGAAGAGGCCAGAAACAUCUCCAGCCAGCCUGCCUGUUGCUGCCUCUGGGACUCCUUGUGAGUAGACUGCAGCCCCAGGCCCUUUCCAUCUGGGUGUGACUCAGCACUUCCUAGGAAGGACCAUCUAUAAAGCCUGAGUCCACAAGGCCCUGGCAGGGCUGAGAGGCCUGCUGUUGUGCUGCAGAAGAGGCCAGAAACAUCUCCAGCCAGCCUGCCUGUUGCUGCCUCUGGGACUCCUUGUGAGUAGACUGCAGCCCCAGGCCCUUUCCAUCUGGGUGUGACUCAGCACUUCCUAAGAAGGACCAUCUAUAAAGCCUGAGUCCACAAGGCCCUGGCAGGCCUGAGAGGCCUGCUGUUGUGCUGCAGAAGAGGCCAGAAACAUCUCCAGCCAGCCUGCCUGUUGCUGCCUCUGGGACUCCUUGUGAGUAGACUGCAGCCCCAGGCCCUUUCCAUCUGGGUGUGACUCAGCACUUCCUAGGAAGGACCAUCUAUAAAGCCUGAGUCCACAAGGCCCUGGCAGGCCUGAGAGGCCUGCUGUUGUGCUGCAGAAGAGGCCAGAAACAUCUCCAGCCAGCCUGCCUGUUGCUGCCUCUGGGACUCCUUGUGAGUAGACUGCAGCCCCAGGCCCUUUCCAUCUGGGUGUGACUCAGCACUUCCUAAGAAGGACCAUCUAUAAAGCCUGAGUCCACAAGGCCCUGGCAGGCCUGAGAGGCCUGCUGUUGUGCUGCAGAAGAGGCCAGAAACAUCUCCAGCCAGCCUGCCUGUUGCUGCCUCUGGGACUCCUUGUGAGUAGACUGCAGCCCCAGGCCCUUUCCAUCUGGGUGUGACUCAGCACUUCCUAAGAAGGACCAUCUAUAAAGCCUGAGUCCACAAGGCCCUGGCAGGCCUGAGAGGCCUGCUGUUGUGCUGCAGAAGAGGCCAGAAACAUCUCCAGCCAGCCUGCCUGUUGCUGCCUCUGGGACUCCUUGUGAGUAGACUGCAGCCCCAGGCCCUUUCCAUCUGGGUGUGACUCAGCACUUCCUAAGAAGGACCAUCUAUAAAGCCUGAGUCCACAAGGCCCUGGCAGGCCUGAGAGGCCUGCUGUUGUGCUGCAGAAGAGGCCAGAAACAUCUCCAGCCAGCCUGCCUGUUGCUGCCUCUGGGACUCCUUGUGAGUAGACUGCAGCCCCAGGCCCUUUCCAUCUGGGUGUGACUCAGCACUUCCUAGGAAGGACCAUCUAUAAAGCCUGAGUCCACAAGGCCCUGGCAGGGCUGAGAGGCCUGCUGUUGUGCUGCAGAAGAGGCCAGAAACAUCUCCAGCCAGUCUGCCUGUUGCUGCCUCUGGGACUCCUUGUGAGUAGACUGCAGCCCCAGGCCCUUUCCAUCUGGGUGUGACUCAGCACUUCCUAGGAAGGACCAUCUAUAAAGCCUGAGUCCACAAGGUCCUGGCAGGGCUGAGAGGCCUGCUGUUGUGCUGCAGAAGAGGCCAGAAACAUCUCCAGCCAGUCUGCCUGUUGCUGCCUCUGGACUCCUUGCCUACUGCCCCCCUCCCUUUUUCCCAGCGCUGGCCUACUGCCCUCCUCGCUUUCCCCAGCAUUGGCUAUUGAACUAAGAGUCUGUCUUACUGAGGUCCACUCAUUAUUUAUAUAUUGCUGCUAUAACAAUCUUUAAAUGCUGUUAUAAUAACUAUUAUGCACUGUGAAGCUUUAGCCUAUAAAGCUCUAAACGGUUCCGGCCCAGCUUAUCUGUCCGAACGUGUCUCCCGCUAUGACCCACCUCGAAGCUUAAGAUCGUCAGAUGAGGCCCUGCUCGCGGUCCCGUCAGCCUCACAGGUGCGGCUGGCGGGGACGAGAGACAGGGCCUUUUCAGUGGUGGCUCCCCGCCUAUGGAACGCCCUCCCCAUUGAAGUCAGGCAGGCUCCCUCCCUCCUGUCUUUCCGAAAGAGGACAAAAACGUGGUUAUGGGACCAGGCAUUUGAGCAUGAGUAGCAGCAAAAAUGAGAUAAGAAUAUAUGACCUACUGACAGACCCCACAUGAACAUGGAAAGCGCCUUAAAUGUAUAUUUAAAGGUAUAAUUAUGUAUAUUUUAAUGGCUAUUCUUAAUUUUAUUGUAAUUUUUAAUCUUGAUGGAUUUUUAAAUUUGAUGAAAACUGUUUUUAAUGUGUAUGGUUAUACUGUAAGCCGCCCUGAGUCCCCUGAUGGGUGAGAAGGGCGGGGUAGAAGUGAUGUAAUAAAUAAAUAAAUAAAAAUAUACAGCCA